rnacentral:rRNA from 1 species
AGAGUUUGAUCCUGGCUCAGGACGAACGCUGGCGGCGUGCCUAAUACAUGCAAGUAGAACGCUGAAGGAGGAGCUUGCUUCUCCGGAUGAUUUGCGAACGGGUGAGUAACGCGUAGGUAACCUGCCUGGUAGCGAGGGAUAACUAUUGGAAACGAUAGCUAAUACCGCAUAAGAGUACAUGUUGCAUGACAUUUGCUUAAAAGGUGCAAUUGCAUCACUACCAGAUGGACCUGCGUUGUAUUAGCUAGUUGGUGGGGUAACGGCUCACCCAGGCGACGAUACAUAGCCGACCUGACAGGGUGAUCGGCCACACUGGGACUGAGACACGGCCCAGACUCCUACGGGAGGCAGCAGUAGGGAAUCUUCGGUCAUGGACGGAAGUCUGACCGAGCAACGCCGCGUGAGUGAAGAAGGUUUUCGGAUCGUACAGCUCUGUUGUAAGAGAAGAACGAGUGUGAGAGUGGAAAGUUCACACUGUGACGGUAUCUUACCAGAAAGGGACGGCUAACUACGUGCCAGCAGCCGCGGUAAUACGUAGGUCCCGAGCGUUGUCCGGAUUUAUUGGGCGUAAAGCGAGCGCAGGCGGUUAGAUAAGUCUGAAGAUAAAGGCUGUGGCUUAUCCAUAGUACGCUUUGGAAACUGUUUAACUUGAGUGCAAGAGGAGAGAGUGAAAUCACAUGUGUAGCGGUGAAAUGCGUACAUAUAUGGAGGAACACCGGUGGCGAAAGCGGCUCUCUGUCUUGUAACUGACGCUGAGUCUCGAAAGCGUGCGGAGCAAACAGGAUUAGAUACCCUGGUAGUCCACGCCGUACACGAUGAGUGCUAGGUGUUAGACCCAUUUCUGGCGUUUAGUGCCGCAGCUAACGCAUUAAUCACUCCGCCUGGCGGAGUACGACCGACAGGUUGAUACUCACACGAAUUGAUUGACGGCCGCCCAAGCGGUGGAGCAUGUAGGUUUGAUUUCGUAGCACGCGAAGAUCUUACCUAGCUCUUGGACA